rnacentral:rRNA from 1 species
AGAGUUUGAUCCUGGCUCAGGAUUAACGCUGGCGGCGUGCCUAACACAUGCAAGUUGAACGGACAUAUAGGGCUUGCCCUAUAUGUUAGUAGCGGACGGGUGAGUAACGCGUGGGUAACGAACCUUUGGCAAGGGAAUAACUGGUGGAAACGCCUGCUAAAGCCGUAUAAUACCGGAUGGCGGCAUCGUUAUCUGGUCAA